rnacentral:rRNA from 1 species
UACGUAGGUGGCAAGCGUUGUCCGGAUUUAUUGGGUUUAAAGGGUGCGUAGGUGGUUCCAUAAGUCGGUGGUGAAAUACGGCAGCUUAACUGUCGAGGUGCCAUUGAUACUGCGGAACUUGAGUACAGACGAGGUAGGCGGAAUUGACGGUGUAGCGGUGAAAUGCUUAGAUAUCGUCAAGAACACCGAUAGCGAAGACAGCUUACUAGACUGUAACUGACACUGAGGCACGAAAGUGUGGGGAUCAAACAGG